CGUUGUUUGGGGCAACUGUUAAAGUCACGAAACAAAACCAGUUAGCAUUUCUGUAUUAUCCAUAACCACUCCGUUUUGACAAACCCUUUGUGAGCCUCGCUACCCCACGCCACCGAAUACCCUCCUCAGACAGGAUGUACACAAGUGCCGCCAGAAAAUAGUUCCACUCAAGAAGGAAGCAGCCAUCGAAUUAGAGGUCGAUUUUAGACCUCUGGCAUUAUUUCCUGCUUUGGUAUAAUAUGUGCCUAUCGAUUUAAAAUGAAAUAGCUGUUCACGUCGAAUUAUUGGCUGCUGUAUAGCUGGCCAGUUUGACGGCGGAUGGAUAUGUACAGUAUUUCCCGUCGCACAGUCUCGCAGCUUUAGUUGGAGAAGAAGGGCGGUGGCGAGAGAAGCUCCUGAGAUGAGGCAAACAUCAAUGCAGACCACAUCGACAGCUGUGCAACCCCGAUAGAGAAGUUUCGUAGUCUGGUCGACAAAGUCAAUAUCUAUCAGAAAUGAACUCAACACAGCUUGCAACAUCUGACCAUAAAAGGAGGUUCCCAAAACAAUAUUUAUCUACAAUGAAACGUUAUCAUUGGUGGCGGAUCAAAUCGUGAGAUAUCGCUGAUGACAUCGAUGUUCAUUUUAGCUUGUGGCAGAACAUCCAACUUACUCUGGGGUUGUUAGUCAGGUCUAUUGUUACAGCUGUCCAGCCUCUUGGAAACCCAGACUUCGGGGACUGUGCCUCUGGCUCAGUGGGGGCUGGUUCAGCUUAGUUAGAUGGGUUUGUUGGAUGUUCAAAUCGUAUUUGUAGGGAACAAACCCGUACAAUUUGUUAUCAGUGACUGGCCAAGGCUUCCACAAGUGUUCCCAGCCAAGAUAGCCACACAUGCAGCGUACUAUCCACCGGAACUUUGAACAGUAUGAGUGAAUACAUUCAUGUGUAAACGGUGAUGACGGACGGGGCCGGUCACCGGUUGUCGUGUCCGAGGGAAAAGUCACAGAGUCUUUAUUACGUCAGUUUCAAACGUCUUUUUGGUCUUCAUGUAAACGAUGGUUGAGGACGGAGCCGGCCACCGGUUGUCGUAAACCGAGAGAAGACAAUGGCAAGGAUGAUGUCCAAUGUCUUUAUUCCAAUCAAAGUCGUCUAUUUUACAAAGAUAGCGGCAGCACUACUCUGAAGCCAAGUGUCCGGUCGAAGUCUCUGCUAACCCGCCCUUCUGCUCGGUCGUUUAGGUGUAGUCCUGGAGUCAGGCUUUCCCGACUUCCUGACUGUCGAAGUUCCCAAAGUUUCAACUUUUAUUUUGUCAAUUUUUGGGAUCCUCCCCUUGGCCAAAUCUGAAUAACAAAUGCGAAUCAGCCUCCCUGUCAUUCAUUGGGACCGUAGGAGAAAGUCUUAAAGGUUACAACCGGUAUCAUUACUUGUCCAAAGAUAACACUUGGUAUAGCACACAUUCAGUGAUUAUUGUACUUCUAACACUUGCAUCUUUUCUAGAUUCAAAACAACACUUCAAGAAUUGGCAAAGUUUAACAAAGGUCUUGAGAAUUUGUUCCGUAUGACCCCAUUCUGUCUUUGAUUGACAUGUCAACUUACUACCCUCGGGUUUGUGCAGUCAACGAUCUGAUAACGUACCAUAACUAAUCAUUAUUUCUAUUACUACAGAGCAUCUGACUAGAGCCAAGGCCUGGGGAUGGUACCAGUGAAGUUCAAAUAAACAGGCUUUCCCUACGCUGGUUCUCAAACCAAGCAGUCUUUAUCUGCCAAAGAAUCGUUUUAGAAGACGUCCGUCGGCCGAGCUCUAGCCAUCUGCGUGUUUACUUAUCACGGGGGAAGAUAUCGCUAAUCGGUCACUUGAGAUGACACCCUCGCCCACAGUCCGGGGUAGUGGUCAGUUAAGGUAGGCAAAAGUAAGGAAAUAUAUUGUUAGUCAGCUAUCAUUACAUCAAGCGGGCCUAGCUUGCUAGGGACCUGCUUACUCCAAUUAUUCCAUGGUGUGGCAAAUAGACUUAGAGGUCUUAGGUCAAGGUCGGCGUUAGGAUCUUUUACGCACUAGCCCGCUCUUUGAAUGGGACGACCUCAGGUCUAAACUAGUGGUUAGGAUUUGGUUUACUCUAUUUCUCUCAACUCUCACCAUAAACCAAGGCUCAAACAAGAUGAGGUGUCAAGUUUACAUUCCUUUUAUUCGGACUUUGUACGGCUCACAACAUUGUUCAAGAUCAAGGCACAGGUACAAGGCAUACAAUGAGAUAUCAAUGCAUCAAAUACAACUCCAUUCGCAUGUCAAACCUAACUUACACUAUCAGGGACCCUCCCAAAAAGAGGCGAAUUUGGAACACAACAGCGCUCGUCAGAAUAUAGGAACCAUCAAAUCUUACCAGGAAAUCAGUUGCUUGGAUGCAGUAGGAAAAUCUGUCCGCGAAACAUUUAGGUUAUUUUGAAAACUAAGGAUGAGCCAAAGUGUCGCCGUCAAGGAGACGCGGUCGGGCCGCCCGUCCGAAGGCGAGCGGCCUACCCGGAGCCGAAGACGCUGGUCUCAGAGCCAAGGGAUCUUCAAGAAGAGAUGGGAUGAACCAAGAGGGCGCCGAAGAAGAGAAGUUCCAAGAGAGCGACCAUUAGAAAAACGCGGUCAAUUAGAUACGAGGUUUUGCAUACUAAUUUAGAAGUAGCCAAACAGAAAGUCUGAGAUUGGUCAACAGUUAGACUUGGGGGCGGAGACAUGGUGACUCAUUUUUAUUGUGACGUCAUGAAAGAAGGAACUUUACGUAACGAUCAAAGGGGAGUUCCGUUGAAGACAGGAGAAGCUCCACCCAGGGGCGAUUCACUAAGGGGUUGGGGCCUAAAGUUAUCCUUGCUACAAUGGGAACAGCAGUACAACCCAGAUCAACUCCUAGCACCAGGAGAUGAAUAAGUAAGUUUUCACACAUACAAUUGUAUGUAUACUUUUUAAUAGUUUCUGCUGCACCUUGCUGGUAACUGAAUUGCCGACAGGUGCAAAGGGUAAUUUUGCAGUAACCCUUCCUGUUAGUUUUGCUACAUUCUCUUGGAUUCUGAACUGCUGAUUUAUGUGUCGAUUGAGGUCGCACUUGAACAGUAGGAACUGACGAGAAUUUUUAAUGUAAUUUAGAAGUAAACAAUUGGCUGUAUCGAUGAAUCAUCAA